rnacentral:rRNA from 1 species
UACGUAGGGGGCGAGCGUUAUCCGGAUUCACUGGGUGUAAAGGGAGCGUAGACGGCCAUGCAAGCCAGGGGUGAAAGCCCGGGGCCCAACCCCGGGACUGCCCUUGGAACUGCAUGGCUGGAGUGCGGGAGGGGCAGGCGGAAUUCCUGGUGUAGCGGUGAAAUGCGCAGAUAUCAGGAGGAACACCGGUGGCGAAGGCGGCCUGCUGGACUGCGACUGACGUUGAGGCCCGAAAGCGUGGGGAGCAAACAGG